UUGAAGUGUGGACGCCAGUCUGCAUGGAGCCGACCUUGAAAUACCACCCUUUAAUGUUUGAUGUUCUAACGUUGACCCGUGAUCCGGGUUGCGGACAGUGUCUGGUGGGUAGUUUGACUGGGGCGGUCUCCUCCUAAAGAGUAACGGAGGAGCACGAAGGUUGGCUAAUCCUGGUCGGACAUCAGGAGGUUAGUGCAAUGGCAUAAGCCAGCUUGACUGCGAGCGUGACGGCGCGAGCAGGUGCGAAAGCAGGUCAUAGUGAUCCGGUGGUUCUGAAUGGAAGGGCCAUCGCUCAACGGAUAAAAGGUACUCCGGGGAUAACAGGCUGAUACCGCCCAAGAGUUCAUAUCGACGGCGGUGUUUGGCACCUCGAUGUCGGCUCAUCACAUCCUGGGGCUGAAGUAGGUCCCAAGGGUAUGGCUGUUCGCCAUUUAAAGUGGUACGCGAGCUGGGUUUAGAACGUCGUGAGACAGUUCGGUCCCUA
rnacentral:rRNA from 1 species